GAAAAGUUCUUUUGCAGUGAUCCUGAAACACAAAGAGAUGGUGGCUAGAUUGGUUCUUCCUCAACCGGUACCCUGAUGCCUUGAUUCUCUUCAGAUGGGGAGAAGAGAGUGUUUUCUUUUGUACGGUGUAUUGGGGACCAUAGCCUUAUAUAGGGUGAUGGCCCAUUAGGGUUCCCAUUAUCCCGAAAUGGGCCAUCAUGACAUCCACCCAUUUGAGCCCAU
rnacentral:lncRNA from 1 species